AAAUCUCUAUACGUGGCUGGUAGAACUGUUAUCAACACCCAAUACAACACAGCCAGAUCACUUAGACCAAAUGAAUCCUACCGAGAUAUUCAUAGAUCACAUCCACAAGCAAGUCCACGUAAACAGGAUUUUACCGAAGGCGAAUCCCCCGAGAUUUAUGAUCCAGAAGAAACCCCUUCCCCCCGAUCGCUGGGCGUAGAAGUAGCCCCUUCCCCCCGUCAGCUCGGUGUGCCACAGGAAAAGAAUGUAGAUCAGUUGUAUCCUCUCCGAAUCCGAGAGCUGGGCUCCGAGAAUGACGUGUUUCAAGGCCGGAAGUCCUUGCUGGACUGGAGACCAGUAUACAUCCUGAUAUACAGCCUCGCCCAGAAAACCA